CCCUGCGGGGGAGAGGGAAGGGGGCGCCCUCUCGAGGCAGCACCCGGCCGGGGGACGAAGACAAGAGGUCUCCAUCUCAGCAUCUGGACUCAGCCACCAUGGUGCCUGUGAAAAAGCUUGUGGUGAAGGUGGGCAAGAAAAAAAGAAGCAGGUCCUGAAGUUUCCUCUUGACUGUACCCAUCCUGAGAAGACGGACUCAUGGAUGCUGCCAGUUUUGAGCAGUUACUUCAAGAGACAAAGUGAAAGGAAAAACUGGGAAUCUUGGGGAAGGGGCAGUGACAAUCAAAAGAAGAGUAAGCAAAAUUACUGCAACUUCUGUGGUGCCUUUUUCCAAAGGUAUUUGAAAUAUCUCACCAAAAAAAUAUUUGUAGAAGAAUAAUCCAUGUGAUUGGUUGCAUGGAGUUGCUAACAGCAAAGAAAGUUACCAAUUGAA
rnacentral:lncRNA from 1 species